rnacentral:rRNA from 1 species
GAUGAACGCUGGCGGCGUGCCUAAUACAUGCAAGUCGAGCGAACGGACGAGAAGCUUGCUUCUCUGAUGUUAGCGGCGGACGGGUGAGUAACACGUGGAUAACCUACCUAUAAGACUGGGAUAACUUCGGGAAACCGGAGCUAAUACCGGAUAAUAUUUUGAACCGCAUGGUUCAAAAGUGAAAGGCGGUCUUGCUGUCACUUAUAGAUGGAUCCGCGCUGCAUUAGCUAGUUGGUAAGGUAACGGCUUACCAAGGCAACGAUGCAUAGCCGACCUGAGAGGGUGAUCGGCCACACUGGAACUGAGACACGGCCCAGACUCCUACGGGAGGCAGCAGUAGGGAAUCUUCCGCAAUGGGCGAAAGCCUGACGGAGCAACGCCGCGUGAGUGAUGAAGGUCUUCGGAUCGUAAAACUCUGUUAUUAGGGAAGAACAUAUGUGUAAGUAACUGUGCACAUCUUGACGGUACCUAAUCAGAAAGCCACGGCUAACUACGUG